AUACAUGUCUGGAAAAAGCCUCCACCCCCACAGGCCCUGCUGUGUGUGGAAACGGUGACGGGCCUGGAGGAGGAGAAGCGAGGCGGCUGGCUCGAGAGCCUCCCUCUGUGUGAGGGGGAGCAGAGUUGGCUCAGGCUGGCGCUCUUAGGCCCAGCUGCUGGGGUCAGUGACACUCCCAGGGACCAGGCCUCUGUGCCUUCAGGCUCAGCCAGCGCCCCCACUCCAGCCCUUCUUCUCUCCUGCUCUGUCUGUGUUGACAAGAGACCAUCUCGGCCACCCUCACUGUCAGGCUCACACAUCUCUGGUGAGAGGGGCAGGUUCGCUCCUGGGUUGGGCGGCUGUGAGCCUGAAACCCAAGAAGCUGGCCCGCAGAGGCAUGUGCACGUGUUGAACGGCAAGGGGCUGGAUGGAAGGAGCUCAGGGCCCCCAGCCAAGGUGCCUGCUCCUGCCAGCUCUCAGCGGAACAGGAGGCAGGACAAGUGUGCCCACGACAGCCUUCCAGGGAAAACGAGGGGCCAAGCGGUCAGUGGUGGGUCUCUUGGGAGGCCCUUUGGACACGACAACUGCCCUCUCUCAUGGCCUCCAGACAUCAGGCCACUUCUUCCAGUGCCAGAGCUCACCCCUGCUGCCCUCAGUCUGAUGGCGUCUUCAUCCCAGAAUGCUAAGUCUCCAGCAGAUCGGUCCAUUCAUGAGUUCUGCGGAGCCUCUUGUCCGGGCUGGGGUGGACACCGGGACAGUUUCCAAGCCUCAGGACACCCUACCCCACCCCACCCCUCCAUUUGCCCUGGGAGGGGGGAACUGACAAAGAGGAAUGUGGGGCUCCCCAUUCCCCAGCCCGAGAGUCACAGGAGUCCAGAAAAACAGGGGCGGCAUCGAGAGGGGCUGGACGUGAUGCCCCCUCUCCCUCAGCUCCACCAGGCUUUGAUAGGAACCAUCCUUAUUUCACGUGAGGGCGCUCUGCAAAUGCAGUUUCCAGCCUCUGCCCACAUGGAGAGCACGGCUCCCCACCUUCCCCGCUCCAUGUCAGGUCUAAGAGCUGUCUCCUUGUCUGUCUCGUUCACUACAGCGUGA
rnacentral:lncRNA from 1 species